UAUUAGUAGGUACUUAAUGCCUGUGAGUAUGGUCAUUAAGACAUUUAGUAAGUUUUAGGGUUAUGGCUAUUAAAUGUGAAUAUAAGUAGGGUAAAAUUUUGUUUUUCACAGAUAUAUGGCUCCAAGAAUACUAACAGUUUGGAAAUAUUAGGAAUGCUGAAGACUCAUAGAGUUCAGUACUCUGAAGUUACUCAAAUUUAUCUAACUGUGUAUACAGUAUGGUUGGGCAUGCCAGUAACCUCAGCUACUGAGAGGUGAGGAUUUGGAAGAUGGUCUUUCAAAGCAAACCCAGGAAAGAAUUGGUACUGAGGCUGGAGUUCCAGUGAACGCAAGCAGCACUACUGGUCUCCCAAGUAAAAUGGAACAAGUGAACCUUGCUGCACAAGUUUAAAUAGAAGCCCGUUGGCACUGGCAAGUUCAUAUGGAGAGACAUGAGGUCAGAAGCAACAGAAGUCAGCACCGGUGCCUUAGUCUCUCCUAUGGCAGUGACUAUGAUGUCUGCGAUGGAGGACAUGGUAGAAUCUGUUCUCAUUACAUCUAGAUGACUGUCAGUGAUUUUGAGGCUUCUUUUGGUGUCAGGCAAGAAUUAAGGAUGGCAUCCAGGGUCAUAAAUCAACAUGGUUGUUAUUAGUGCCUUUGUAUUGAAGAUAGAGAAAUUCAGUGAUAAUGUGGACUGUGGUACCUGAUACUUCAAAUGUAAGACUGUUUACUGGAGAAAAGCAUUUACCUGAACCUCAAACAGUUCCCCACAAUGUGUCUGGUGAGGCAGUGAGACUCUCCUGCUUUUAGCAAUGUUUUUUUGCAGAAAUAAUGGAGUACUCUUGAGCUUUCCCAUUUACAUUUCCUAGAUAAUGUGGUGUUUCCAUCAGGCCAGGAGCUAGUGUUACACAGCACUUUAUUCCUCUCACUAUGAUUCUACCCUGUGUUUCACAAUGAAAAUCAUAUUUAAGAUGAAUGAUUUCUUGGGAUCAGUUAAAAAUGAAAACACAUGGAUAUAAGAACAAUCACUUCAUGACAUCUCUGCACAAAUUCAUCCAAGAUUCUUUUUACAUUGAUCUAAAGACUAUUUAAUUGCCUUCAUCAUCAAUUUCUUACAAUCUCCACAGCUAUAGUAAGUUGUAAACUAUAUCAGCAGAAGGACUGAAGUCCAUUUCAUUGCCAUUUUAGUGCAAUGUCAUGCUCAUUUUUCAUUUACU